rnacentral:misc_RNA from 1 species
AGCAGCCGCGGUAAUUCCAGCUCCAAUAGCGUAUAUUAAAGUUGUUGCAGUUAAAAAGCUCGUAGUUGAAUUUCGGGGUUAGUAGGUUGGUCAUGCCUCUGGUAUGUACUGGUCUCACUGAUUCCUCCUUCCUGAUGAACCUUAAUGCCAUUAAUUUGGUGUUUUGGGGAAUUUGGACUGUUACUUUGAGAAAAUUAGAGUGUUUAAAGCAAGCUAACGCUUGAAUACAUUAGCAUGGAAUAAUGAAAUAGGACGUUCGAUCCUAUUUUGUUGGUUUCUAGGAUUGACGUAAUGAUUAAUAGGGAUAGUUGGGGGCAUUAGUAUUCAAUUGUCAGAGGUGAAAUUCUUGGAUUUAUUGAAGACUAACUACUGCGAAAGCAUUUGCCAAGGAUGUUUUCAUUAAUCAAGAACGAAAGUUAGGGGAUCGAAGACGAUCAGAUACCGUCGUAGUCUUAACCAUAAACUAUGCCGACUAGGGAUCGGAUGAUGUUAAUUUUUAAUGUACUCAUUCGGCGCCUUA